rnacentral:rRNA from 1 species
UACAGAGGUCCCGAGCGUUGUUCGGAUUCACUGGGCGUAAAGGGUGCGUAGGUGGUGAGGUAAGUCGGAUGUGAAAUCUCCGGGCUCAACCCGGAAAUGGCAUUGGAAACUACCUUGCUGGAGGAUUUGAGGGGGGAUUGGAAUACUUGGUGUAGCAGUGAAAUGCGUAGAUAUCAAGUGGAACACCAGUGGCGAAGGCGGCGACCUGGGCCAAUACUGACGCUGAGGUGCGAAAGCGUGGGGAGCAAACAGG